GUAAAACCUGGCAUAGUAUUUCAGGGGAUUUACAGAUCCCAAGAAGUGAAUCAGGGAACGCCUGUGGGCCUUGUGGUCCCCAAGUGAGAAAAGUCCAGCUGCAGGAGUGUCCACCUCCAAUUGGGGUGACAGGAGCUCUCUGUCCUGUCCAGAAUGGUGCUGGCCCUUUGUCUCAGUCUUUUUGUCUGUAAUAACAAAAUACCCAAGACUGGGUAAUUUGUAAAAAACAAAACAACAAGAACAACAAAACCAGGAAUUUAUUUCUCACAGCCUCUGAAGUCUGGGAAGUCCAAGCUCAAGGUGAAGCCUCCUCAGGUGGCAAAGAGCAGAAGCACAAAAGAGACCAAACUCCCUCCCUCAAGCUCUUUUACAAGAACACUGAGACAUUCACAAGUGCUGAGUCCUCAAACCUACUAACCUCCUGAAGGCUACACCUCAAAUACGGAUUGAAUUUUCGCAUGAGUUUUGAGGGACACCCAUUCAAAGCAUAGCACCCUUCGGCUUCAGAGAAGCUCCAGCCCUGUUGUCACCAAGCAGGUUCCCCCUAGGCAGAGCGCCAAGAAGCAGCCCAGGCGAUCCCAAGGCGCACAAGUGCUCUCACCAGGCUGCGCGCUGGCGGGUCGGUGCACAGGGACGGGGUCGCCGCCCACGCGCGCUUGGUUCAGGGAGCCCAGGCUGUCCCUACCCGCGGCUACAAAAGCUCGCCGAGUCUUCCUGUCCACCCAAUCGCCCCACAUGUCAGCGGUUGGUCGCCUCGCGGUGCAGUGCUGGGCACGCGAGCCCCUCCCGCAGUCAUUCUCAGCACAAGCACCAGCCUGGAGCCCCGCAGCGACAGAGCUGAGAGCCCCCAAGCCGCAGAGGUCGUGCGGAGCAGGUUGCAAAUGUCUUAGAAACACACUCCUGGACCACAGCUUCAAGAGACGCAAGCAGUCACCUCAUCUGCUGGUUUCCAAGCUGCCCUGCCAGAAGCAGGUCAGGGGUCCCACAGGGGUCCUCAGUAACUCCUCAAAAUCCUCUCCCAUCAAUGGCCCCACCAGAUCAUCCCUACUUUUGAAUGCUUGUCCAAUGCAGGUUCCAGGUUGGUCUAAUUGAAGGCAAUGGAGAAGUAAGUCUUUAUGGAUCAAAAUCUUAGCUCUAGAAAAGUUGCCCUUGGCUAUAAAGCCUGAAGUGGGUGUUGGAGUAGUCAACGACUAACCCAGGAUGGAUUUGUGCCAAUACACAAGUGACAACAUCUUUCACAGCUGAAGAGUCGGAGGAUAAAGCCAUGCCCACAGAUCGUUGUCACACAGAUUUGAUUAAGUGAAACAAAGCCCCAGCUGCUGGAGCAGAGGUUCCACUUGGGUUCCACAGACACCCACAGCCCAAAUCCCUGGAGGCCUAAGGCAAUAGCUAAUUGAGACUAUGCAUCACUAUUAAGGCAUCUUCACUAAAGGGCGCUGUGGAAACGCUGCCUGAGAUGCAGACACCUGUCAGAAGGGGGCUAAAUUUCAAACAAGGAACGUGGUGUUGCAUCACAAUAAAUAGAUACGGGGUUUCACCGUGUUAGCCAGGAUGGUCUCGAUCUCCUGACUUCAUGAUUCACAUGCCUCGGCCUCCCAAAGUGCUGGGAUUACAGAACAGAAGAAACACACGUGUUCUUGUGUGUAAACCCAGUCCAUGGAAGAGACCGUCUGCUUGUCCCUCCUGAUCUCUGGGCCCAGACAACCAGUAGUCACCAUUCCAAGUGAGGGGUGGCUGCAACUCUACAGCCCCGUUCGUCUCUCCUCACUGUCAAAGCUGCUGAGACCCCAGACUCGACACUUGAAAGAAACCCAUGUCUGUGAAGCACUUGUGGACCAUUCAAGAUUGUGGAAGAAUCACUCAAGAGAAGGAGAUAGCAAUAUUUGCAGAUAUGCAAACUGGCCCCUUGCAUGCACAUCCUGGAGCACGUCCUGGAGCCUUUAGAGGUGAGUGAGAAGGAGACGGCUGCUGCUGUUCCAGUCUCUCCUUAGGCAGACUUGAGUUUCUACCCACUCUUCCCAAGCAGCCGCCCCUCCGCACCCGAGCGAGCCAAAGACCUGGCGGGCUGAGUACUCACUGCGCGCUGGACACAUGCUGAGCCGGCACUGCAGGGACACAGGGCGAGCCGCUGGAUGCAGACCUGUGGCCGCGGCAGUUGGGCUUAUCUUGCCCAUGAAGUUGCCUCUGAAGAACCAAGUCCAACUGUGUAUGCUGAGAGAUGUCUGGCUACUUCCUGAUUGACAGUUCUGGCAAGGUGGCAUUGGGCCCUGGCUUUUCCUCUGGAGGCAUCAUCACUUAUAGGAAAAUGUCCCCUGAAGUCCAAGGAUCAAAGCUGCUGGAACACUGAGAAGCUGAACAAAGGAGAACUGUUUCUCAUCAAACCCAGACUUCCAGACUUCCAAUAGGGUAGAAUGAGCAAGUCAGCAAAUCAUCUUCCUUGGAAACAGUGAUAAAACUAGAUGACAUUGUCAACAACAGCCAUUUCAGAAAUCUAGAAAAUGACCAAAGGCAAACAACAAACUGAGAAGCAUUUUUUUUUCCAUGAAAAAUCGCUCUAUUUCUGCAAAAAUAGUGGGAGUCUAUGGCUUCUCAUCCAGGGCUGUUUCUCUCCCCACCCCAGCUCAGUCAGUACAAAGGUUCUGGCAGCAUGAGGCAGACUGAACAGACCUGAAGUUUGAUUGCUGGAAGAAACUGACUCCAGGUUUGGCAGAGGGUGAGAAACCUACUCCCAGCCAUGUUGUCUGGUGACACAGUGACCUUAGGGACAAGUGAAUAGGGAAGGCCAGUGAUUCAUUAACCUGAGGUUGCAGUCCUGGUUGGGGAAAGCAUCAGAAUGGCAGAUAAGCUAGAAAUUUAGUAGGGAUAUGCUGGAAAUGAGACAACCCCAAAGGGGCUUGACCCCAAAGUUGUCCACACACCCCAGCUGCCUUCUGAGCAGAUGUAGGGAGAGACCAGAGAAGGCCUAGGCUAUCCACACAUCUCUGGCUAACCCAGGCUGUAAACCUGUGGAGGAGACACAAGAGGUGGAUUGAUUGCUAAUGGGCAUAUGGGGGAUCUUACUGGUUGAUAGGAACAUUCUCAAAUUGGAUUGUGGUGAUGCUUGCACAACUCUAAGUUUAUCCCAAAUUGCUAAAUUUUACACUAAAAAGGGGUGAACUUUAGGGUAUAUAAAUUAUACAUCAAUAAAGUUGUCAUAAAGCAUUCACAUUCUAAUAAAUGGCUCUAAGAAAUAUUGUUUUGAAAAUUUUCCUUUGGUAUAUUAUGGCACUCCAAAAUCAACUUCUGUCAGAACAAUAAUUAACUAUUUCUGAUUAUAGAUAUUGGUCAUCUACAAUGAUUUAUUCAGUCUUUUAUGUCCCGCAUAAGGGCUUAGAAUGCUUUAAAUUUCUAAGACCAUCAAUAGCCAGGACUCACCUGAAAACUAUAUAUAUUUUUAAAAAGACGUAUGCUCUGGGACACCAUAUGCUAACAUUUGUUGAGCACACAGUUUGCUACAGAGGUUAAGAGGUGUACUAUUUAAAUCUAACUUCCUCAAGGGGCUCACACUAUUACAAUAGUAAGCUAAAGAGAUAGAAGAAAAGUUUAUAUAUAAAAUCUCAGUACAGGGAUGGGGUUGGUAACAAAUAAGAUGCUGCCACUUACACUUGAUAAAUUAUAAAAUAUCUAUUGCAUUCAUUAUUGGAGGCUGACCCUUAUAAAAACCUUGUGGGUACUGCAAAAGACAGGGAAACCGAGGCUCAGAGUGGUUCAGCAACUUGUGUGAGGUCACAUACCUCAUGUCAAAGCUGAGAUUUAAAUGUGUGUGGCUAGGCUGGACAUGGUGGCUCACACCUGUAAUCCUAGCACCCUGGGAGGCUGAGGUGGAACACACUCCUUGUUUGUGUCCAGGAGUUCAAGACCAGCCUGGACAACAUAAUGAGACCUCAUCUCUACAAAAAAUAAAAAAUUAGCUGGGUGUGGGGCCACGCACCCCAAGGUUCUCAGGAGGCUGAGGCAGGAGGACUGCUUGAAAUCAGGAGGUUGAGCCUGCAGUGAGCUGUGAUCAUGCCACUGCACUCUGCCUGGGUGACAGAGUGAGACCCUGUCUCAAAAAAAUAAAAAUAAAAACAAAUAAAUGUGUGUGGCUGAUUCUCAUGCAAAUAUUGGUGAAGAUCUGGUAGUGAUGUAAAUUGGUAGAACCUCAGUGGGAGAUAACUUUGCAAUAGCUAUCAAAUGAAAACUGUGUAUAUUCUUUGUUUCAGGAAUUUCACUUCUAAGAUGUUUUUAAUAUAGCAGAAAUGGUUAUCCAUAAAGAAUUAGUUCAAUACAUUUUAUCUGUAAAAUGGAAUGCAAUGCGGCCAUUAAAAAGGAGGCAUAUCUGAGUAUACUAAUAUAGAAUGGUCUGCAAGAUAUAUUAACUUUUUUACAAAAGCUGUUCCCCACACUUCUUCGUGUUGUUUGAAAAGACGUGAAGGCUCAGACAGGCCUUCAUUGUGACUUGCCCAGGAUGAGUAGCAGGGCUGGAAUUCCUACUCAGGAGUCCAGAUUUAUAGGCUUCCUCUUUGCUUUAUCCUAUUUCAUAGCUGUCUCUGUUGCCAGAGCCAUGGAAGG
rnacentral:lncRNA from 10 species